rnacentral:lncRNA from 1 species
ACUAUAUUCACAACUAAAAUUAGCCAUACCAACCCCAAAUCCUUUCUCUUUACUCUCUGAGAAGGAAAAAGUCCUACACAAUAUAAUUAAAGCUACUUACCACCCAGACUAAAUAUUGCACAAAUUGUUAUCAUAAAGCACAGGACAUAACACUUAUAAUGUCAAUAUGAUUCAUGCUUGGUGGUAUUGUGGUUACAUGUUAGUUGGGGGUGUACUGAGCUGUGCUUUUUUACUUUAUCCUUUUAUCCAGUCUAUUGCUCAGGUCUUCAGGACAUGGGAAGAAAAUAUACUCAUUUGAAACGUAGCACCUCUUGGAAGAAAACAAACAAACAAACCUAUAUAUAGUCUAAUUAUCUAUAAUCAAUUACAGGAAUGAUCCUCAUUGUUUUACUAUUUCUUUAUGAACAUUACGAACAUUAUGAACCCUUGGCCAUUCCAAUGUUUUAUCUUCAGUGACAAAGCUUAUGAAAAGAUCUUCACCUUCUAUAAAAUAAUGCCAGUUCAAGUACCUUUCCUCAGACGUAGAGUUUGCCUUCCGAAAUGACCAGCAAGUCAACAUUGGCAGCAGCUCAGACACCAGAGCAAUAUCCAGGAAGCUAACAGAACCACAGAGGAGUUGAAACACAUGCGUCUGGGUUUCAGUAUUAUUCCCAAGCUCCAUCUCCCCCAAACAGAGGGAGUGUCUUGGCUGACACCUCCAAUACCUCUUUGGGUGAGGAAUGGGAAUUGAGCAUCAUGUGGCAAGAAGGGACAAAUGGACACUCCAGUUGAGUCACAACAUCAGCUUCCAGGUCCUGAUCCUCUAUAGUCAUUCUCUGGUCUCCCAACACAAAUGCCAGAAGAACUCAUCAGAUCCUCCUCAGUUGGCAGCACUGAAGGUCUAGGUACAUCUUUAGCUGGCAGGGGCUGACAGACACAGAAUAUGCAUUGAGGAAUGGUUCUUACCACUAUAGUGAUGGGCAUGCAUGCUUUUCAGUAGAAAUGAUAUGAAAAAUUUGUAUGUAGUACAUGCUAAAAGCCUUCGGGUAGAGAUCCUACACUUUGAUGAAUUACUGUGAAGAACUGUACAAUGAAGCAGAUUGUACAGCAUUUGAUGACAAUCAAUGUAUUAGAAGUCUAUGCAUCAAUGUGCAUGGUUCUCAUGCAUAUAUGCCUUUC